ensembl:snoRNA SNORD24 Small nucleolar RNA SNORD24
UGCAGAUGAUGUGAAGGAAUAUUUGCUAUCUGAGCAAUGGUGAGGACGCCCGAACCACCAAGAUCGCUGAUGCA